rnacentral:rRNA from 1 species
UACGUAGGGGGCAAGCGUUGUCCGGAUUUAUUGGGCGUAAAGAGCGUGUAGGCGGCCUGACAGGUCUGCUGUGAAAACUCGAGGCUCAACCUCGAGAUGUCGGCGGAAACCGUCUGGCUAGAGUCCGGAAGAGGAGAGUGGAAUUCCUGGUGUAGCGGUGAAAUGCGCAGAUAUCAGGAAGAACAGCCUAUGGCGAAGGCAGCUCUCUGGGACGGUACUGACGCUGAGACGCGAAAGCGUGGGGAGCGAACAGG